AUUGAACGCUGGCGGCAGGCUUAACACAUGCAAGUCGAGCGGGGGAGGUUGCUUCGGUAACUGACCUAGCGGCGGACGGGUGAGUAAUGCUUAGGAAUCUGCCUAUUAGUGUGGGACAACAUUCCGAAAGGGAUGCUAAUACCGCAUACGCCCUACGGGGGAAAGCAGGGGAUCUUCGGACCUUGCGCUAAUAGAUGAGCCUAAGUCGGAUUAGCUAGUUGGUGGGGUAAAGGCCUACCAAGGCGACGAGCUGUAGCGGGUCUGAGAGGAUGAUCCGCCAAACUGGGACUGAGCCACGGCCCAGACUCCUACGGGAGGCAGCAGUGGGGAAUAUUGGACAAUGGGCGGAAGCCUGAUCCAGCCAUGCCGCGUGUGUGAAGAAGGCCUUUUGGUUGUAAAGCACUUUAAGCGAGGAGGAGGCUACUAGUACUAAUACUACUGGAUAGUGGACGUUACUCGCAGAAUAAGCACCGGCUAACUCUGUGCCAGCAGCCGCCGUAAAAC
rnacentral:rRNA from 1 species